UCAGCACCAGGUGGGACCUAUUACUGUGGGCGUGCCCAGAAUUCCCCACUUGACCCGUGACCGAGACUGCCCACCGCUCAGUGGGAAGCAGGGCGGUCAAGAGCGCUGGGCUGGCAAGCCAAAGCUCGCCGAUCCAAAUCCCCAAUCUGACAAGUGGACCGAAGACUGGAUUCCCUCUGAGCUGGAUGAACACAUUCCACAUGGAAUAAACCUGGUGUGUGUAGAACAGUAGUACGCAAAAAACCUACAACUACUACCAGACUGUCCUGUACAAAAUGUCCUUAAAUUGACCUAUAUUAUAAAUAAAGACAUUUGUAGAAUUUUCA